GGAGUUGUAGCUCAGUGGUAGAGCACUUACCUAGUCCGUGUGAGGCACUGGGUUUGAUCCUCAGCACCACCU
rnacentral:tRNA from 1 species